GAGGAAAAGAAACUAACAAGGAUUCCCCUAGUAACUGCGAGUGAAGCGGGAAAAGCUCAAAUUUAAAAUCUGACAGUUGUUUUGGCUGUCCGAGUUGUAAUCUAGAGAAGUGUCUACCCGCGCUGGACCGUGUACAAGUCUCCUGGAAUGGAGCAUCAUAGAGGGUGAGAAUCCCGUCUUUGACAUGGAUCUACCAGGGCUUUGUGGUGCACUCUCAAAGAGUCGAGUUGUUUGGGAAUGCAGCUCAAAAUGGGUGGUAAAUGCCAUCUAAAGCUAAAUAUUGGCGAGAGACCGAUAGCGAACAAGUACCGUGAGGGAAAGAUGAAAAGAACUUUGGAAAGAGAGUUAAACAGUACGUGAAAUUGCUGAAAGGGAAACGCUUGAAGUCAGUCGCAUCGACUGGAAAUCAACCUUGCUUUUGCAUGGUGUACUUUCUGGCUGAUGGGUCAGCAUCAAUUUUGAUUGCUGGAUAAAGGCUUGGGGAAUGUGGCAUCUUCGGAUGUGUUAUAGCCCCUGGCUGCAUACGGCAGUUGGGAUUGAGGAACUCAGCAUGCCGCAAGGCUGGGUCUUUUUGACCACGUAUAUGUGCUUAGGAUGCUGGCAUAAUGGCUUUAAUCGACCCGUCUUGAAACACGGACCAAGGAGUCUAACAUGCAUGCGAGUGUUUGGGUGGAAAACCCAUGCGCGCAAUGAAAGUGAAAGUUGAGAUCCCUGUUGUGGGGAGCAUCGACGCCCAGACCAGACCUUUUGUGACGGAUCUGCGGUAGAGCAUGUAUGUUGGGACCCGAAAGAUGGUGAACUAUGCCUGAAUAGGGUGAAGCCAGAGGAAACUCUGGUGGAGGCUCGUAGCGAUUCUGACGUGCAAAUCGAUCGUCAAAUUUGGGUAUAGGGGCGAAAGACUAAUCGAACCAUCUAGUAGCUGGUUCCUGCCGA
rnacentral:rRNA from 1 species